rnacentral:rRNA from 1 species
AUUGAACGCUGGCGGCAUGCCUAACACAUGCAAGUCGAGCGGAUGAAGGGAGCUUGCUCCUGGAUUCAGCGGCGGACGGGUGGGUAAUGCCUAGGAGUCUGCCUUGUCGUGGGGGAUGACGUCCGGAAACGGGCGCUAAUCCCCCAUCCGUCCUGAUGUAGAAAGUGGGGGAUCUUCGGACCUCACGCUUUCAGAUGAGCCUAGGUCGGAUUAGCUAGUUGGAGGGGUAAAUGCCUACCGAGGCGACGAUCCGAAACUGGGCUGAGAGGAUGAUCAGUCACAUUGGAACUGAGACACGGUCCAGACUCCUACGGGAGGCAGCAGUGGGGAAUAUUGGACAAUGGGCGAAAGCCUGAUACAGCCAUGCCGCGUGUGUGAAGAAGGUCUUCGGAUUGUAAAGCACUGUAAGUUGGGAGGAAGGGAAGUAAGUUUAUACCUUGCUGUUUUGACGUUACCAACAGAAUAAGCACCGGCUAACUUCGUG